rnacentral:misc_RNA from 1 species
AAGCAGUUACUGUUAAACCAAAAACCACGGCGAACUACUUCAACUUUUUUCUCAAUCUAGAUCUUCCCAAAUUUCGGACACAGGGAUUCUGCUUCAUAAAUAUUCUGGCAAGAAGUCGCAAUUUACGAUCCAUAUUUCAGGUCAGUUUCCUUCUAUAAUUUGGAAAGUAGAUUCAGCCACAGCAGACAUUGCAUUACGCCAGUGAAACUGCGAGCUUUAAUUUGAUCCUCUUGUUCUAUUCUUUGCUUGUUGAGCUAUGUAGCUUACUUCAUAGUAAAUCUUUGUAGGUAAGCAUUAAAGUUACGAUUUUCACUUAUCAAUUUGUAUUUGAGCAAUUGGGUGUUCAAGUUUUGUGAUUUUUAGCUUGUGGGUAGCUGGGAUAUCUUGAUUUAAGUGAUUAGAUUUGUAGGAGUUUUGACAAUGAGGAGUGUGUCUGUUCUUGUUCUCUUUUUGUUUUUGUGUGGGUUUUUGUUAUUUGGGUUUACAAACUCGUUUCUCCAAGGAGAUCUUGUUAAGGCUAGAGCUGAAUACACUGCGACCCCUAGUUAUGACAGAAUUGAUGAAGUGAAGAAACAUUGUGCUUUUGUUCUGUCUUCUGCUACUGCAUUGAAACCUGAAGAUAAUAGAGUUUACACUAUCAAAGAAGACAUCUUUUUUGUGAAUGGGGAUUGGAGGCAGGACGCUGGUAAAGCCCCAAUAAUUCCAUAUGUUGAUAGAGAGUCUUAUAGAAGUAACUCAUCGGAUGUUCAGAAGCCACUGAACUUGGUUUCUUUCUGGGUCACUGAUGUUGAUCAUGCCAGUCGAUCUAAAAAAUCAAUUAGUGUUAAUGGGUUCUUGGUUAUGGGAAUAACACUAGAUUCAUUUGGGGAUAGACCAUAUGAGGGUAGUCCUCAGUUUCAGAUGUGGCCUGGUCAUACCCAGCUUUCAAUUGCGUUUCAAGGAGUGUACACUGAGUCUAAGAAGAAUGGGGGUGAAAGUGUCAUGUGUUUGUUGGGAAGUACAAUGUUGCCUUCUCGAGAGUCUGAAUCGAGUGAUCCAUGG